rnacentral:tRNA from 1 species
GCCGCCGUAGCUCAGCCUGGUCAGAGCGCCACGCUCAUAACGUGGAGGUCGCCGGUUCAAAGCCGGUCGGCGGCA